CCAAAAAUAUAUUAUUUUGAUCAAUAUGACCUCACUAUUUUUAAAAGUAACCUUCAUCCCAACUUUUUCUAAUAACUACAUAGAAACUAAAUUAAUUUUGAUAUAAGCAACAUGCAACACAUUACUAUAUGCAGAGGUUUACCAGAUGUGAGUUUGACAAAAACUUUGCCUUCUUCAAGAAUUUUAGUAGUCCUUAAAGCCCCAAGAUAAAUGAUUUUUUCUCCUUUCUCAACUUAGGUGUAUGACACAAACUCAUUGUUAUUUAUACAAAUGUGUCUCGUAGCACCUGAGUCCAUCACCUAGCUUCUCACAUUCGCCUCAAUAUUCUUUGCUGAAAUGAUCGUAAUAAUUAUAUCAUCCAUUUCAAUCAAACUUAUUUUUGACUUAACGGGUUUAUCAUUUCUUUCACAUAUUUUCUUGCACUGAGAUGCAUUUUUAUAAAGGUUUUAUUAUUAGCAUUAGGCAUAUAAUCAUGUUUGUUUUUAUACAUGUAUUCUACGAUAUCGUAAACUUCUGACAAGAUGACUGAAAUAGGAUCAGCCAAGAUAACACUAAUAUCAGUAUCUUUAAUAAUUUCAGGAUAAAUAAUAUAUGUCAUAGUUUCGUAGAUUGUUGGGGAACAGUAAUAAAACAUCAAUAACAAUAUUAUUUAAUAGUCAGCAAUAAUAAUAAUAUAAUAAUAAUAGCAAUAUAAUAACAUAGUAAUGUAUAAUAAUAUUACUACUACAAUAACAAUAUUAUAAUUAAUAUAAUAAUUUUGAUAUAUUAUAACGGUAUUAAAAUUACUUAUUAGCAAGUUAAUAAUACUGAAUAUUAAAUAAAGGAAUAAUACAUAAACUUGCCCUUUAACUUGUCCUCAAAUCACAUAUAUGACCUCUAACUUUGAAUGUGCACAAGUGGACACUUAAACUUGUAUAAAGUUGACUAAAUAAAUACACGCAUUCUAUGUGGCAUAAUACACGUAGGACGUCAUGUAGGACAAGAAUUGAUCACGUAGGAUGUCACAUAGGAAUAUGUGUCUACUUGUUCAACUUUAUAUAAAUUUAAGGGUCUACUUGUGCACAUUCAAAGUUGGAGGUAGUAAAUGUGAUCUGAAGUCAAGUUAAAGGGAAUGUUUAUGUAUUGUAUCUUAAAUAAAUAUUACUACAAUAUUAUUUUAAGUGAUAUAUUAAUUAUACUUGAGUCGUAAUAGGUACUGCCCUAAGAAACUAUUUCAACAGUAUGAAAUGUUUCUCCAGGAUUAAACAAGUAUUUUUCUAAUUAAUUAGAGAACAUCUAGUAUUAAAUAAGUUCUCUCUAAUUAACAAAAGGAUACAAGAACCAGCAAAAUUAUUAAUACAAAUACCAGCAAGUUAUUAGUUAGAAAAAGAAGCCAAUAGAGGAAAAUAAUAAAACAAGAAGAGAUGGAGAACGUGAGAAGAUGGAAAAAGAAAAGGAAAAGAGUUGCAUG
rnacentral:lncRNA from 1 species